CGCGCCCGAAACCGCCGCUAGCCCCGCCCCGCGCAGCCGCGGGCUCCCGGGAGACUCGUUUCCCUCGCUGCGUUCGUCGCCCAGUUCUCCAGCACCCUUGGGCGGGGGCUGCCAAGACCGGCCCCAGAAGGUCGUUUCCCCUGCAGUUUCCGGCAUGACAAGGAGGUUUUAUGGACAUGGAAAAUAAAUCCACACAGAAGUCCUGAAGAUGCUGGGACUGGCAGAAUUGGAGGAAAACACAAACAAAAGAAAAAAGAAAAGCAAAAGAGAAAACACCCCCAAUCUUGACAGAGAUGAUCAUCUCAUUCCUCAGACGACUGUGUGUUCUCUUCUUCAUCAUCUUCGGGAAGCCAGACCAAGUACUCAAGGAAACCAGAUGUCAAACCGGAGAGCUUUAUAACACAAAUAUAAACUACACCCACAGAGACUUCCACCAGGAAUACUGCUGACCUGGUAGUGAAAAGAAAGGAAGCCAAAGAGUGUCCCCAGAGAAAAUGGUAUCCAUUGUGGCCAAAGAGAAUUAAUCUUGAUACAUAAGCUUUUUUUUUCUUUAUGUUGGGAAUUGCAAUUAGGCACUAUCAACAUUGAAAUUACACCUCAGUGCCUAGGCAGGACUUCAUUUAAAACAAUAAGUAACUCUUUAGUGAUUCCUUACAGAAAUAUGAGUAGCUCUAUGCUGGGAUAUGAUGUAAUAUUCUUGUAUUUCUUACAUCUGUUGGUGAUGAAAAGUGUAUUUUAAAAACGUUGGCACAAAGCCCAUCAAUGCACAUUAAGACUGCAAACUUUUACUGUCCUUAAAUGCCAUCACCUCUUACCUGCCUCCUAGCUUUUAUGGAAUUUCAUGAGUCAUGUAUUCUGUUGUGUUUUCGGGAUAUAUGUCUUUCUUAGAAAAAACACUGUGUAAUAGUUGUCUUUAUUUAAGUGCUGAAAGUAAACAUCCAUUCUGCCCAGAGCAGAUGCAGUUGUUUUUUGUUUUUGUUUUUGUUGCAGUUUGACUUAUCAGAUUAAUGUGCAGAUGACAAAACUGGCUUCAGCUUUGUUACUCCAAGUUCAGCUAAUAUGGAUUUGAGGGAUUAGUUUUAGGAAUUUUUUUGGUUUGGUUUUGCUUUGUAAGACAAGCCUAUUAUUUGUGAGAGACUUUAACUUAGAAAUAAAAAAAAAUUGGCAUGUAGCUAAUGGUUCUUGCUCACAUUUUGGUUUUCAAUAGGCCUUUUAACUUUUAAACAUAAUUUGAUAGUCUGUUUUCAGGAUUUCUCAUUAUUUCUUUGUAGAUGAUUCCAGUUCACAACUAUACAUUAGAUUAACACAUUAACAAAUUGUCAUUGUGGAACAAAGAUAGAUGCAAUCAUACUGAACUGUUUUACAUUUAAGGAUGUUUACAUAUCAAGGAUAUAGCAAUCAUUGGUAGAAGUCUCAGGAAGUUGUAUUGCUUUUACUUAUAACAUUUAACUACAGUUUCUUACAGCUCUUAUUGUAUCCCUUACUCACACUAAUACAAUGUAAGCAGGGGCAACUGUUUCCCCUUUUGAUGACUGUAUACCUUUUUUGCAGAGGAAUUUAAGGUUGGAUAAUUACUUGCUCAUUAUGUCUUAAUAAU